GAGCCGCCCGCGCCCGGACCCGCGGCGUCCGGGCGGGGCCUCUUUCCUCGGGCUCGCGGCCGGGAAGGAACAUUCCAGGCUCUCCCCGCCCGGCUGCGCCCGUUCCCGCUCCUCCCCCGCCGCGUGUUUUCCGCCCCAGUAAAGAUCGUGCCACACAAAUAAGCCUCGGGGUCUCAUGUAGCUGAGGCUGAUCCUGAACUCACUAUGUAGCCAAGGUUGGAUGAUACCGGUGGCCUUCUUAUUUCUGAUGUUUGACUAUGGGCUGGUCUUGUGACUUGACCUGUUGAAUAUGAACCAAGUGACAUCGGGCCCUGUUUGAGGCUGGACUUACACAGGCUGUGGAGUCAUUUCUUGUUACUCUUGACAUGAAGAAUGCUACACAGGAUGGAUUCUUUCUGGAGAGAAAUGCCAGUAACGGAAUGUAGUCUGGAUAUGAUGCAGUGCUGGGGACCACUCAUGACUGCCCACUGUUUGUCAGAGCCAGAGGAGAUGAACUGCAAACAGAAGCCGUGAAUGCCUGCUGGAAGAAGAGCACCAUGGGAUGACGAUCAGUGUGGGAAGUUGCAAAGUUAAUUUAAAGGACUCCUAGGGAAUAAUGGGGGGAGUUUGGGAAAGUCAUUCAUGCAUCAGGACAAGUGGGCAGAGGAGGAGUUGACAACAUGCUUGAUGUAGUUGUUGAACAUAAUCAAGGUCAUUGGGAAUGGCUAAUAGAUGACUUAGAAGAAUCAGUUGAAUUAUCUAAAGGGAAAAGGGAAGAUGAAGAAAAAAAAAAAAAGGAAGCCGAUCAACAAUAUAGACAUUACCAGAAUUUUCUAAAGUUCUUUGGGUCACACUGGAAAACAAACUUUCUGGGAUAAGAUGCUCAGGUGGACUGCAGUGAUGUCAUGUGUGUGAUCACCAAAGGACCACAGCCUCUCUGCUUCUAAAGGGGUUCUGGAAAUAACUUCAUCUAUAGAGCAUACCUGAGCAUUCAAAUCAUUUGCUUCUGACAUCCCACCAUCAACACUGUCAUGGCUGGAGGGAGAAGGGGCAUCUGGAACAUCCCUUCUUCUACCCUGAGGUCAGUAGUGAGCUGACACAUCACAAUGUCUAUCAUCCAGCUUGUAUUUUAUCAUGUAGACAUUGUAUCAUCUCACAUCAUCACAAGAACAAGAGUGGAUAGGGUCCAGCAAGACAGGUCACUGCUCAGUGUUUGCUUUUGUUACUGUGAUACCCUGGUGCCCUACAUUUCCGGCUCACAGUCCAUCACGGAGGGAAGUCAGGGAAGGAGUUCAAGCAGAAACCAUUCUUGCUCUCUGGAUCACGCAACUAACUUCCUUCUGCCGCCUCCCAGCCUCCCUCCGUCCUUUCCUUCCUAGUUUACUUUUGUUAUUUUAAACUUCUGUGUUUGCAUGCUGCUCUGUGUGCAUGUGAUUGCAUGUGCCCAGUGAGGCCAAGAGGCAUCAGAUAUCCUGGAGUUGGAGUUACAGGCAGCAGUGAGCUGCCAGAGGUGGGUGCUGGGGGUGCAUCACACUUAGGUCCUCUUCAAGAGCAGUGUGUGCUCUUAAUCACUGCACCAGCUCUCUAGCUAGUUUCCUUAUACAGCAUAGGCUCACUCGCCUAAGGACAGUGACGCUCACAGUGGGCUGAGCCCUCCCAUGUCAAUCAUCGGUCACCAAUCAAGCAGUUUCUCUAUGACAGGGCCUCAGGACAGUCUGAUCUGGGCAAUCCUACAACUGAGAGUCUCUCAGAUAACAGCUGAAGCUAACUAGGACAACCACUUGUAUCUAUCUUCAUAUCUCUAGAUGUAUCUACCUAUUGUCUAUUUAUCCAUCUAUCAUCUGUCAAUCCAUAAUCUAUCUCUAUCUGUGUAAUAUAUAUCUAUCUAUAUCCAUCUAUCUAUCUUUGAUCACAGGGUAUUUUCCUUCUUCUAUUUUAUUUUUGUUACUCUCCUACUAUUUACAUCACAGAUUAAACCUUCAUAUGUGUAUAGCAAAAAUGUAGUACAUAUUAGAUUGGGUGCUACCAAGGUUUCAGGCAUCCUUUGGGAGACUUGAAGUAUAUCCUCCACUGAUAAGGAAGGACAGCUCUAUUGCUGGCUAUACUUAUUGCUAGCCCCUUUGAGAAGAAGCUACCAUUUUUGCUUUAGCAAAUGGAUGGGAGCUUGAGGGAUCCUUUUUGGUUUUUUUUUUCUUUACUCACUCUGAAGUUAUGCCUGGCCUUCUGCUGUGACUGCCUAUGGCGGAGUAGCUCUGACUGAGGCUCAGGCCUGACACCUUUCCUUCCCCUGAGCAGACUGUUUCUGAAGGCCCAGUUACAACUUGAACUUUAUGGCUGCUGCUGCUCAAUAGGAAGAACAAAGUGCUUCUAUGGUCCUCACACAGCCCAGCACAGUAUCCCUGACAGCAGAGGAAUCUUCCCUCACAGGAAGCAAGUGAUCAGCUCUCCAGCUCAGCUGUUUAUUGAGGCAGAGCUGCACUUUGUAUGUUAGGCUGGACUUGAAGAGGUGACCUUUCUACCUCUGUGUCCUAAGUGCUGGGAUUACAGCACACACCCACCACUGUGCCCCAUGUAUCCUAAUCUAAGUCAAUCCUGACAUCUGCACCCCUGAACUAUUGUCAAAUAUUACAGGAUUGUCCCUACUUUAGAUGGCAACCCCAAGGAAUACAUUGCCACUUAUGUUUCAGCCCUGAACUGAGGCCCCAUGACCCUCUCCUUGACUUCACUUGACUUGUUGGGAAAGCCCACUGAGCUCGGGGAAACACCUGCACUGGUCUGUUGAAAGGAUAUUAGAACCUGUGGUUCCCAUGUCAGACAUUUACGUUGUGAUUCAUAAUAGUAGCAAAGUUAUGGGUAUGAAGUAUUAAUGAAAAUAAUUUUAUGAUUGGGGGUCACUGCAACAUGAGGAACUGUAUUAAAGGGUCAUGGUAUUAGGAAAGCUAAGAACCAUUGAUACAGAUGAACAGUCAAGAUGAAGAGACACGUUACAUGAGGAUGGGGAGGACACAGCUUCCGUGUCCUCUGCGAUCUUUUAGAAACUGUCACAGGCUUGGGGACCUGGACUUUUCAAAUCCAGUCCUUAUAUGCAGUUUUCUAAAGACUUUGUUCUGUAGGCAUGAGUGACUCAGUCAGUGGCUAUGAUUAUCAACUUAUCUUUUGUAACACCCGCCCUCACCCCAGACUGCCAGUGGUGCUGGACUCCCAACUUUCUAAUCAUGUGCAGUCCGAUUUUUCUUUGGUCCACCACUCACAAAUAACAACACAGAGACUUAUUAUUAAUUAUGAAAGCUUGGCCUUAGCUUAGGCUUGUUCUCAACUAGCUCUUACAAAUUAAAUUAACCCAUUUAUAUUAAUCUACAUUCUGCUCUGCCAUGUGACCUUACAUUUCUUCCAACUGCUCUGUUUCCUCUCCGUGUCCCACUGGCAAGCCCUCAUGCCUAGAUUCCUUCUCCUUAGGUUCCUCCUCUUAGUUUCUCCCUUUCUGCCCGGAAGUCCCACCUAUCCUCUCCUGCCUAGCUAUAUUAAACCAAUCAGACGGUGCCUUAGGAAGAGACACAUCAUUACAGUGUAAAUAAAAUAUUCUGCAACAGUCAUGCUUUGAUCUUUCCUGUGACCAGUGACCAUUCUGUAGCUCCUCGGGGCUGCUGGCCACUAGCAACAUAGAAUAAAGAACAAGCCCAAGGAUUUUUGGGCUAUUGUACCAGGAAACAGAAGGAGACCAAGCAUAUAUUCUGCAGUCUCACAGUGAUCCUCUGCCACGGCAUCUAACAUGCUGUGGUCGAGGGUACAUGUUGGCUGCCUUCAAAUGAUAAGGCAACAACUUCUGCUCCCUUUUUCUUUGAAAGGUUGUCCUUGACUCUCCUGUUGUUUAAGCAUUGCUUUCUUCCCUCCCUACCUGCUCAGCUUAACUGCCACCUCUAUAGAGAGGCUUCUCCAAACACCGACCUCUACUCUCUCACCAUUGUCUGUUUUCUUCAAGAGACUUAGCAAUAUUGCAAUAUAUUUUUGUCUAUCAUCUAGAAAACACACUACUGUAGUGCAAAUACCUGAAGGGGAAGGACCUUGACCAUCUUGUUCCUAGGUGUACCUUCAGGUCAUACCAAGAGAGAUACUUGAGAAAGUGCUCAACAUCUUUAGCCAUCAGAGAAAUGCAAAUCAAAUCAACUCUGACAUACCAUCUUUCAUUUGUCAGAACACCAAGGACAGUUUAUGCUGGAG